UACGUAGGGACCGAGCGUUGUCCGGAAUCAUUGGGCGUAAAGAGCGUGUAGGCGGCCAACUAAGUCCUGCGUGAAAUCUCGGGGCUCAACCCCGAGCGGUCGUGGGAAACUGGUUGGCUAGAGUGCGGGAGAGGAGAGUGGAAUUCCUGGUGUAGCGGUGAAAUGCGCAGAUAUCAGGAAGAACACCCGUGGCGAAAGCGGCUCUCUGGAACGCAACUGACGCUGAGACGCGAAAGCGUGGGGAGCAAACAGG
rnacentral:rRNA from 1 species